CCCUUCUCGGGUUCACACCUGGAGAGUUUCCAGUCCUCUACCAGUCUCGGCUAGGGGAAGGAGAGUCAAGCGGAAGCCAACUCAUUCCAUUCUUAGCUUGGGCAGUGGCUAGCGAGUGGAAGACAAUCUGCCAGAAGC